AAAGUCCCUUCGGGGGCAAGUAAAGCGGCAGACGGGUGAGUAAUACAUAGGUAAUCUACCUUCGAGAUUGGGAUAACCCUGCGAAAGUGGGGCUAAUACCGGAUAAGACCACGUGGCUUAAGUCGCGUGGUAAAAGGUGGCUUGUUUUUUAAAUGAGCUAUCACUUGAGGAUGAGCCUGUGGCCUAUCAGCUUGUUGGUGAGGUAAGAGCUUACCAAGGGUAUGACGGGUAGCUGGUCUGAGAGGACGACCAGCCACACUGGGACUGAGACACGGCCCAGACUCCUACGGGAGGCAGCAGUGGGGAAUAUUGGGCAAUGGGCGCAAGCCUGACCCAGCGACGCCGCGUGGGCGAUGAAGGCCUUCGGGUUGUAAAGCCCUGUCAUGUGGAAAGAACAGUCUCGUGGUGAAUAUCCACGGGAUUUGACGGUACCACAGGAGG
rnacentral:rRNA from 1 species